UUCAUACUCCCUCCGUCCCGAAAUACUUGUCAAAGAAAUGGAUGUAUCUAGACGUAUUUUAGUUCCAGAUACAUCCACUUUUAUCCAUUUCUGCGACAAGUAAUUUCAGACGGAGGGAGUACAUA
rfam:Triticum aestivum genome assembly, contig: Triticum_aestivum_CS42_TGACv1_scaffold_307181_4AS